ensembl:snoRNA SNORA62 Small nucleolar RNA SNORA62/SNORA6 family
CCUACACAUUGUUGGAGCUUGGAGUUGAGGUCCCUGGCUGGCGGAUGAACUCACGAGUGUAGCUAGUGUGCCACUUGAGGGGCAAGUCUUUCCUUAACCACAAAGGUCUCUGGCUGGGUGAUGAGUUUGAUAGUGAUUCUUGCUAUAAGU